GGAACAGCUCUGCCGCGAGAAAGACUUUA
rnacentral:piRNA from 1 species